rnacentral:rRNA from 1 species
GACGAACGCUGGCGGCGUGCUUAACACAUGCAAGUCGAACGGAAAGGCCCUGCUUUUGUGGGGUGCUCGAGUGGCGAACGGGUGAGUAACACGUGAGUAACCUGCCCUUGACUUUGGGAUAACUUCAGGAAACUGGGGCUAAUACCGGAUAGGAGCUCCUGCUGCAUGGUGGGGGUUGGAAAGUUUCGGCGGUUGGGGAUGGACUCGCGGCUUAUCAGCUUGUUGGUGGGGUAGUGGCAUACCAAGGCUUUGACGGGUAGCCGGCCUGAGAGGGUGACCGGCCACAUUGGGCCUACGAUACGGCCCAGACUCCUACGGGAGGCAGCAGUGGGGAAUAUUGCACAAUGGGCGGAAGCCUGAUGCAGCGACGCCGCGUGCGGGAUGACGGCCUUCGGGUUGUAAACCGCUUUCGCCUGUGACGAAGCGUGAGUGACGGUAAUGGGUAAAGAAGCACCGGCUAACUACGUG